GAGACCCUACUUUCAGGGGUUUUCACAGUUCAUUUCAGAAAAGUUUCUCUGACUGUGUAGAGCCCCUGACACCACGAGGAGAGGCCAAACUAUACUCUCCUGAGCGGGAAGCUGCUUCUAGGUGUUGUUUUUGCAACUGCCUUUUCUCACUGAAAAUCAUUCUUAUCUUCCCUUGGGAGAGAGAGGAGAAGAUACAAUCUGAGUAGU